rnacentral:tRNA from 1 species
GGGCCUAUAGCUCAGUCGGUAGAGCGGAUGACUCAUAAUCGUCUGGUCGGGGGUUCGAUCCCCUCUGGGCCCACCA